rnacentral:rRNA from 1 species
CCUACGGGGGGCUGCAGUGGGGAAUAUUGCACAAUGGGCGCAAGCCUGAUGCAGCCAUGCCGCGUGUGUGAAGAAGGCCUUCGGGUUGUAAAGCACUUUCAGCGGGGAGGAAGGCGGUGAGGUUAAUAACCUCAUCGAUUGACGUUACCCGCAGAAGAAGCACCGGCUAACUCCGUGCCAGCAGCCGCGGUAAUACGGAGGGUGCAAGCGUUAAUCGGAAUUACUGAGCGUAAAGCGCACGCAGGCGGUCUGUCAAGUCGGAUGUGAAAUCCCCGGGCUCAACCUGGGAACUGCAUUCGAAACUGGCAGGCUAGAGUCUUGUAGAGGGGGGUAGAAUUCCAGGUGUAGCGGUGAAAUGCGUAGAGAUCUGGAGGAAUACCGGUGGCGAAGGCGGCCCCCUGGACAAAGACUGACGCUCAGGUGCGAAAGCGUGGGGAGCAAACAGGAUUAGAUACCCGUGUAGUC